rnacentral:rRNA from 1 species
AUUGACUAAGGUUUCCAGAGGAAGGCUCGUCCGCUCUGGGUUAGUCGGGUCCUAAGCUGAGGCCGACAGGCGUAGGCGAUGGAUAACAGGUUGAUAUUCCUGUACCACCUAGCAUCGUUUUAAUCGAUGGGGGGACGCAGUAGGAUAGGCGAAGCGUACGAUUGGAUUGUACGUCUAAGCAGUGAGAUUGAGUGUUAGGCAAAUCCGGCACUCUUAAGAUUGAGCUGUGAUGGGGAGAGGAAAUUGUUUCCUCGAGUCGUUGAUUUCACACUGCCGAGAAAAGCCUCUAGAUAGAUAAUAGGUGCCCGUACCGCAAACCGACACAGGUAGUCAAGAUGAGAAUUCUAAGGUGAGCGAGCGAACUCUCGUUAAGGAACUCGGCAAAAUGACCCCGUAACUUCGGGAGAAGGGGUGCUCUUUAGGGUGCAAGCCCAGAAGAGCCGCAGUGAAUAGGCCCAAGCGACUGUUUAUCAAAAACACAGGUCUCUGCUAAACCGUAAGGUGAUGUAUAGGGGCUGACGCCUGCCCGGUGCUGGAAG